GUACACUCCUACGGGAGGCAGCAGUGGGGAAUAUUGGACAAUGGGCGCAAGCCUGAUCCAGCCAUGCCGCGUGAGUGAUGAAGGCCCUAGGGUUGUAAAGCUCUUUCACCGGUGAAGAUAAUGACGGUAACCGGAGAAGAAGCCCCGGCUAACUUCGUGCCAGCAGCCGCGGUAAUACGAAGGGGGCUAGCGUUGUUCGGAUUUACUGGGCGUAAAGCGCACGUAGGCGGACUAUUAAGUCAGGGGUGAAAUCCCGGGGCUCAACCCCGGAACUGCCUUUGAUACUGGUAGUCUUGAGUUCGAGAGAGGUGAGUGGAAUUCCGAGUGUAGAGGUGAAAUUCGUAGAUAUUCGGAGGAACACCAGUGGCGAAGGCGGCUCACUGGCUCGAUACUGACGCUGAGGUGCGAAAGCGUGGGGAGCAAACAGGAUUAGAAACCCUGGUAGUCCCA
rnacentral:rRNA from 1 species